UCCCGGUUUCCCGGGCAGUCCCAUCAGAGUGCCUCCGAAGAGUAGCAACUGAUGGCAAGGGUUGCGCUCGUUAGAGGACUUAACCCAACAUCUCACGACACGAGCUGACGACAGCCAUGCAGCACCUGUGUACCUGUUCGGACCGAAGCCCGAAAGAUCGUAUUUCUACGACUGUCAAGUACAUGUCAAGCCCAGGUAAGGUUCCUCGCGUAGUGUCGAAUUAAACCACAUGUUCCACCGCUUGUGCGGACCCCCGUCAAUUCCUUUAAGUUUUAGUCUUGCGACCGUACUCCCCAGGCGGAUCACUUAACGCGUUAGCUACGACACUAGUCUCGCUAAGCAAGACUAACGUCCAGUGAUCAUCGUUUACAGCGUGGACUAC
rnacentral:misc_RNA from 1 species